rnacentral:rRNA from 1 species
UGGGGAAUAUUGCGCAAUGGGGGGAACCCUGACGCAGCCAUGCCGCGUGAAUGAAGAAGGCCUUAGGGUUGUAAAGUUCUUUCGGUAUUGAGGAAGGUUGAUGUGUUAAUAGCACAUCAAAUUGACGUUAAAUACAGAAGAAGCACCGGCUAACUCCGUGCCAGGCAGCCGCGGUAAUACGGAGGGUGCGAGCGUUAAUCGGAAUAACUGGGCGUAAAGGGCACGCAGGCGGUUAUUUAAGUGAGGUGUGAAAGCCCCGGGCUUAACCUGGGAAUUUGCAUUUCAGACUGGGUAACUAGAGUACUUUAGGGAGGGGUAGAAUUCCACGUGUAGCGGUGAAAUGCGUAGAGAUGUGGAGGAAUACCGAAGGCGAAGGCAGCCCCUUGGGAAUGUACUGACGCUCAUGUGCGAAAGCGUGGGGAGCAAACAGGAUUAGAUACCCUGGUAGUCCACGCUGUAAACGCUGUCGAUUUGGGGGUUGGGGUUUAACUCUGGCGCCCGUAGCUAACGUGAUAAAUCGACCGCCUGGGGAGUACGGCCGCAAGGUUA